rnacentral:rRNA from 1 species
UGGUGCCAGCAGCCGCGGUAAUUCCAGCUCCAAUAGCGUAUAUUAAAGUUGUUGCAGUUAAAAAGCUCGUAGUUGAAUUUCGGGGUUAGUAGGUUGGUCAUGCCUCUGGUAUGUACUGGUCUCACUGAUUCCUCCUUCCUUAUGAACCGUAAUGCCAUUAAUUUGGUGUUGCGGGGAAUUUGGACUGUUACUUUGAAAAAAUUAGAGUGUUUAAAGCAAGCUAACGCUUGAAUACAUUAGCAUGGAAUAAUGAAAUAGGACGUUCGAUCUUAUUUUGUUGGUUUCUAGGAUUGACGUAAUGAUUAAUAGGGAUAGUUGGGGGCAUUAGUAUUCAAUUGUCAGAGGUGAAAUUCUUGGAUUUAUUGAAGACUAACUGCUGCGAAAGCAUUUGCCAAGGAUGUUUUCAUUAAUCAAGAACGAAAGUUAGGGGAUCGAAGACGAUCAGAUACCGUCGUAGUCUUAACCAUAAACUAUGCCGACUAGGAU